UACGUAGGGUGCGAGCGUUAAUCGGAAUUACUGGGCGUAAAGCGUGCGUAGGUGGUUCGUUAAGUCUGAUGUGAAAGCCCUGGGCUCAACCUGGGAAUGGCAUUGGAAACUGGCGACCUAGAGUGCGGUAGAGGGUAGUGGAAUUCCCGAUGUAGCGGUGAAAUGCGUAGAUAUCGAGAGGAACACCUGCGGCGAAGGCGGGUUGCUGGGCCGUAACUGACGCUGGAGGAGCGAAAGCGUGGGGAGCGAACAGG
rnacentral:rRNA from 1 species